UGUCAAGGGAUGGGAAUCGAACCCACAGUGUUCGGCUUACCGGGCAGAUGCCAUGUCCACUAGGCUACCCUGGAC
rnacentral:tRNA from 1 species